rnacentral:lncRNA from 1 species
CCGAGCUCUGGCGGGGGAUGGUGGCCUGCUUUCUCAGGCCCUGCCGGGGGCCUCCAGCCUGUCUUCGGGGAGAUGUCCUCCCAGCCUCAGCCAGAGAAGGCCAGCCCACCCCAGGAAUGACUGCGCUUCUGCACGACUGAAUAGGGCACAGCUGUUGCAAGUGUGAGCUUGCCUCCACGUCCCCCCCUCCCCAUGCUCCAGCGUUGCUUCUGCCUGUGGCCUUGAACCGGCUCUUCGACCUGCUUCCAUCUCUCCAUCUGAAAAGUGAGAUAAUGAUAUUACCGAAC